rnacentral:lncRNA from 1 species
CGAGAAUCUCUAGGCUCACUCUGCAGGAAGCUAGAGCCCAAGAUCAGAUGUUUUCAGUUGUAGGAGGACCAAAGGCUCAAAUAACUUCUGAGCGAUGGGAAAUGAACAGAUCUUUGCUAAGGACAAUAAAAAUGAAAAAAAAAAAAAAACCAAACAGCUGUUCUUGUAAAAGGAAUCCCACUCAGCCCUCUUUGAUGAUGAUCAGGUGGACAGUAAACCACACAAAAGCUAUUCUCUAAUUUUCUGUCUCUUCAACAGAAAUUAUGACACCUGUUGACAGGCUGGGAAAAGUCAUCUGCUUUCUUCCAGAGAUGUCACUGAUUUGGCAGUGUUAUAAUCACAAAAUGGCAGCAAAGCUCCCUCCAACACUUUCCCUCAGAUUGAAUUGUAUUCUUUGGACAAAGAAAUGCAAACACAGAAAUCAAAUAAUUCAUCUCUUGUGCCAGUUCCUCACUUUAUGUAGGCUAUCCAGAUCUUUUGAGAAGACAAGCUACAAAGAAGACUCUGAUACGAGACCAGCUGCCUGGGAGAGGUUUAGAACAACUGAGGCACCUGGAUAGGAUACUCUCAAGCCUGAUGAGCUGCCUGCAGCCUGUGCAGUGUGCUCCAGGUUCCCAGCUUUGGGAGCUGUCACCCAUACUUGGUGGGCUUUGGUGAUGCGGCUGUCUUUGAGUCAUUCUGCUCCUAUAAGUAACCCCUUACCCAUAUUCCUAUAAGCUA